rnacentral:tRNA from 1 species
GGUGGGUGCAGCUCAAUGGUAAAGUGCAUGCUUAGCAUGCAUGAGGUGCUGGGUUCAAUCCCCAGCACCACCU